rnacentral:rRNA from 1 species
GACGAACGCUGGCGGCGUGCUUAACACAUGCAAGUCGAGCGGUAAGGCCUUUCGGGGUCCACGCGCGGCGAACGGGUGAGUAACACGUGGGUGAUCUGCCCUGCACUUCGGGAUAAGCCUGGGAAACUGGGUCUAAUACCGGAUAUGAACUCCUGUCGCAUGGCGGGUGGUGGUAAGAUUUAGUGGUGCUGGAUGGGCCCGCGGCCUAUCAGCUUGUUGGUGGGGUAAUGGCCUACCAAGGCGACGACGGGUAGCCGACCUGAGAGGGUGACCGGCCACAAGGGGACUGAGACACGGCGCAGACUGCUACGGGAGGCAGCAGUGGGGAAUAUUGCACAAUGGGCGCAAGCGUGAUGCAGCGACGCCGCGGGUGUGAUGACGGCCUUCGGGUUGUAAACCUCUUUCAGCAGGGACGAAGCGCAAGUGACGGUACCGGAAGAAGAAGCACCGGCUAACUACGUG